rnacentral:rRNA from 1 species
GAUGAACGCUGGCGGCGUGCCUAAUACAUGCAAGUCGAGCGAACGGACGAGAAGCUUGCUUCUCUGAUGUUAGCGGCGGACGGGUGAGUACACGUGGAUAACCUACCUAUAAGACUGGGAUAACUUCGGGAAACCGGAGCUAAUACCGGAUAAUAUUUUGAACCGCAUGGUUCAAAAGUGAAAGACGGUCUUGCUGUCACUUAUAGAUGGAUCCGCGCUGCAUUAGCUAGUUGGUAAGGUAACGGCUUACCAAGGCAACGAUGCAUAGCCGACCUGAGAGGGUGAGCGGACACACUGGAACUGAGACACGGUCCAGACUCCUACGGGAGGCAGCAGUAGGGAAUCUUCCGCAAUGGGAGAAAGCCUGACGGAGCAACGCCGCGUGAGUGAUGAAGGUCUUCGGAUCGUAAAACUCUGUUAUUAGGGAAGAACAUAUGUGUAAGUAACUGUGCACAUCUUGACGGUACCGAAUCAGAAAGCAACGGCUAACUACGU